UACGGGAGGCAGCAGUGGGGAAUAUUGCACAAUGGGCGAAAGCCUGAUGCAGCUAUGCCGCGUGUAUGAAGAAGGCCUUAGGGUUGUAAAGUACUUUCAUCGGGGAGGAAAAAACAAAACUAAUAAUUUUAUUUCUUGACGUUACCCGAAAAAGAAGCACCGGCUAACUCCGUGCCAGCAGCCGCGGUAAUACAGAGGGUGCUAGCGUUAAUCAGAAUUACUGGGCGUAAAGAGCACGUAGGUUGGUUUUUUUAAGUCAGAUGUGAAAUCCCUGGGCUUAACCUAGGAACUGCAUUUUGAAACUGAAAUACUAGAGUAUCGUAGAGGGAGGUAGAAUUCUAGGUGUAGCGGUGAAAUGCGUAGAUAUCUGGAGGAAUACCUGUGGCGAAAGCGGCCUCCUAAACGAAUACUGACACUGAGGUGCGAAAGCGUGGGGAGCAAACAGGGAUUAGAUACC
rnacentral:rRNA from 1 species